rnacentral:lncRNA from 1 species
CAGAAAUGAAGAGAGAAGAGUGACAGGUUGUCAGCCUUCAAAUGUGUUUUUGUCAGACACAUCAAGGCCUGCCAGAGACAGGACAGGAAAUAGCCUGACCUCCGUAUUCGUGUCGAAUAAGACCAAAAGAAAACGGUUGAGGGGGAUAAUGCAAGUACAACACGUGCUUUGGGUAUCAGAGGAGAUGUCUAAUAGCAGGGACAGUGAAGCACUAGUGUUGUCCUGGGAAGCAGCUCUCUAAGUACUGGAGAUCUCUAAGAAGAAGCUGGAGAAACGUCUGUGAGAAGUGCCAGAGGUAGUGCCCAUCCUACUGUGGGCAGUGGGACUGACUAGAGGGCUUCCUUGAGGUCCCUUCCUGCUUGUGUGCGUGAGUCCAACACUACAUAUAAAGAUUUCCAAGAUAUUUCAGAUGGAAAUACAUUUUAAAAUCUGGGAUUUGGAUUUUCGUGUUCCUUACAAACUCCCACAAUACCGAGGGUCUUCUCAGAAGGAUUCGCUGGUGCUGCUAAUUACAGGUGCAAUUGCAUUAGCUCCUUGAUAUCUUCCCC